rnacentral:rRNA from 1 species
UACCAGCUCUCCGAGUGGUGUGGAUGUUUAUUGGGCCUAAAGCAUCCGUAGCUGGCUGGACAAGUCCCCUGUUAAAUCCACCGAUUUAAUCGUUGGAGUGCGGGGGAUACUGUUCGGCUAGGGGACGGGAGAGGCAGACGGUAUUUUCGGGGUAGGGGUGAAAUCCUAUAAUCCCGGGAAGACCACCAGUGGCGAAGGCUGUCUGCUAGAACGCGCCCGACGGUGAGGGAUGAAAGCUGGGGGAGCGAACCGGAUUAGAUACCCGGGUAGUCCCAGCUGUAAACGAUGCAGGCUAGGUGUUUGGGCGGCCACGUGCCGCUCUAGUGCCGCAAGGAAGCUGUUAAGCCUGCCGCCUGGGGAGUACGGCCGCAAGGCUGAAACUUAAAGGAAUUGGCGGGGGAGCACCACAAGGGGUGAAGCUUGCGGUUU